AAUGGGGGCAACCCUGACGCAGCCAUGCCGCGUGAAUGAUGAAGGCCUUAGGGUUGUAAAGUUCUUUUGCCCGUGACGAUGAUGACGGUAACGGGAGAAUAAGCUCCGGCUAACUUCGUGCCAGCAGCCGCGGUAAUACGAAGGGGGCUAGCGUUGUUCGGAAUUACUGGGCGUAAAGCGCGCGCAGGCGGUUUUGUAAGUUAGGGGUGAAAUCCCCGGGCUCAACCCGGGAAUGGCCUUUAAGACUGCAAGGCUAGAGGACGAGAGAGGUGAGUGGAAUUCCCAGUGUAGAGGUGAAAUUCGUAGAUAUUGGGAAGAACACCGGUGGCGAAGGCGGCUCACUGGCUCGUUUCUGACGCUGAGGCGCGAAAGCGUGGGGAGCAAA
rnacentral:rRNA from 1 species